ensembl:lncRNA
GGGUUUGCAGUGUCUGUAUUCCAAUUGGUUGUCAGGGUUUUUGCAUUGGAAAUGCAUCAGUGAACAAAUCGCCUGCUUGUGCCAUCCGUAAGAAGAUGAAGGAGAAUGCGUGCAGUGGGCUGAAUGGAGAAUUCGUGAAUCAAAGGCAACACCAUCAAAUGCAUUAUGAAAUUAAGCACUAUCAGGUUGUCAAGGCUGUAGCUCAGCGGGUACAUGGUCCUGGAUACCAGAUUUUUUUUUUUUGAAAACUAUUUAUAUAUGGAAUCUGAAUGCACUCCAGGAUAUGCUGCAGUUCUUUGUGCCACAAGAGGCCAAGAAGCUCUACUACAAGACGUUGAGGCAGAAGAUGAAGAUUAUUACAAAUUAUCCAACUUAGAUUGCAGCUAACUUUGCACAGCAAAUAUGAACAUGUUUCCAGGAAUAACAUUGGAGUUGAAUUAAGAAUGGUCGCCAGAAGAGGACCAAGGGAACCUAAUGUAAUGCUAAUGUGUUUAUGUGUUGCUUGGCAACAGUUCAGUCCAGUUGCGGAUCUAUUUGUGUUGGCGGAGCCAAAUAAAUCAUUAAUGAACCAAAGAAAUCUGAUCAUAAUAUGUUAAUUAUUAUUGUUAACUAAUGAUUGGUGCUUGUAGAACUGUUGUAUAAAAGCAAUAUCACUCAGGAGUGAGUGCUGUUGUACUACGGCUGGGAUUCG